UUCGAACCCAUGGAGCUGCUCCACGCCUGCGCCGAAACAUCAACUCGCCGAGGAGCUCCACAGUAUCCACAGGCGGUGCUCGUGUGAAUGACCUCCCUCUUCUUCCUCCUAUUGGGCCUUCUACAGCGAUCCCCGAACAUCCACAGCCAGCCAGGGAUAAGAGAGGGCCGAACACCUGGUGAGCCUUGGUCUGCAUGCUGGUGAGGCGGGCACACACCAUGGCACCGCUCCGAUUCAACACAUUGACAAAAUGACAGAGAAGAGUUAUCUGAAGACCAAGCAGACUGCAAACCCAGAGGCCGGCACCUUCAGGGAGGGUGAUGACAUGAUGCAGUAGCAGAAACAGCCAGACUAGGCCGAGCAACCCCAGGAGCUGUCUGAUGAACUGGUGAUGCUUCUGACAAAAGAGAGAGUGACAUGAGCAGGAGUGUGUGCCAGCAGCCCCAAAAGAAGCAAUGAACGGACAGCUUUGGUAGGUAGAUCACCAGGCGGCUUUACCUCCCAGUGAAUCUCUCCAUCCCGGCAGCAGGUUGUCGGAGGGCCAAGUCACCGGUCAUGAGCCACAAGUAUAUCACACCUGAAAGUUUUUGAACAAGAUGUGUCAAGUUUAGCUGCAGCAAUGAUCACUCUCCUCUUCCAUCUAACAAAUGCACAGGACUGAUCUACAGACUUGUGAGGCAGGACCUAUAUUUUGUCAGUGCUUAAUAAACUGAUUCCUUAUAAGA